rnacentral:rRNA from 1 species
GACAGAGGGUGCAAACGUUGUUCGGAUUUACUGGGCGUAAAGCGCGUAUAGGCGGCCUUGCAAGUUGGAUGUGAAAGCCCACGGCUCAACCGUGGAAGCGCAUCCAAAACUGCAUCGCUCGAGUCUCGGAGAGGAAGGUGGAAUGCUUGGUGUAGAGGUGAAAUUCGUAGAUAUCAAGCAGAACACCUGCGGCGAAGGCGGCCUUCUGGACGAUGACUGACGCUGAGACGCGAAAGCGUGGGGAGCAAACAGG